CGUCACGUGCCCGGGGGGGGGAAGGCGGCAGCGGUCACGUGAGGCGGGCGCCGUUGCCAUGGCGAGGGCGGUGCUGGUGCCGCUGUGCCUGUGGUGGGCCCUGGGCCGCGCCGCGCCCCCCAACGUGCUGCUGCUGCUCAUGGACGACAUGGGUUGGGGUGAUUUGGGAGCUUUCGGAGAGCCUUCGAAGGAAACUCCGAACUUAGACCAGAUGGCUUCGGAAGGGAUGCUUUUCCUGGAUUUUUAUACCGCCAACCCCCUCUGCUCGCCAUCAAGGGCAGCGCUGUUGACGGGCCGUCUCCCGGUCAGGAAUGGUUUUUACACCACGAAUGGACAUGCCAGAAACGCGUACACACCACAGGAUAUAGUAGGAGGAAUCCCAGAUUCUGAAUUACUGCUUCCAGAGUUGCUGAAGAAAGCUGGCUACAUCAAUAAGAUCAUUGGCAAAUGGCAUCUGGGCCACAGGCCCCAGUUCCAUCCCCUGAAGCAUGGGUUUGAUGAAUGGUUUGGAUCCCCAAAUUGCCAUUUUGGACCUUAUGAUAACAGAGCACUCCCCAAUAUCCCCGUGUAUAGGGACUGGGAAAUGAUUGGCAGAUAUUAUGAAGAUUUCAAAAUCGAUCUGAAGACAGGUGAAGCCAACUUGACUCAGAUCUACCUACAGGAAGCUCUCAGUUUUAUUAGCCGGCAGCAGGCCAGCCAGCAGCCAUUCUUUUUAUACUGGGCAAUUGAUGCUACCCACGCUCCUGUUUAUGCCUCCAAACAUUUCCUGGGCUCUAGUCAGAGAGGACUAUACGGGGAUGCUGUACGGGAAAUUGAUGAUAGCAUUGGAAAAAUCCUAAAACAUCUUCAAAAGCUUGGUAUCAGCGAGAACACUUUUGUGUUUUUCACCUCUGAUAACGGGGCUGCGCUCAUUUCAGCUCCUAAACAAGGAGGAAGCAAUGGUCGUUUUCUCUGUGGCAAACAAACCACCUUUGAAGGUGGCAUGAGAGAGCCAGCUAUUGCUUGGUGGCCUGGACAUAUUCCUGCAGGAGGAGUCAGUCAUCAGCUAGGCAACGUGAUGGAUCUCUUCACUACCAGCCUCUCCCUGGCGGGUCUGCAGCCUCCGAGUGACAGACAGAUUGACGGCAUCGACCUUUUACCUGCCAUCUUGCAGGGCAAGCUAAUUGACAGGCCCAUAUUCUAUUAUCGUGGCAACGAGAUGAUGGCCGUGAGAGUCGGGCUUUACAAGGCUCACUACUGGACCUGGAGCAACUCCUGGGAGGAGUACAGCAAGGGCAUUGAUUUCUGCCCUGGGCAGAACGUCUCUGGAGUGACAACGCAUACGCAGGAGGAGCAUACCACACUGCCGCUGCUCUUCCAUCUGGGGAGGGACCCUGGAGAAAAGUACCCAUUAAGUUUUGCCAGUGAAGAAUACCAAGGAGUUAUGGAGCGAAUAUCUGCCGUGGUGCAGCAGCACAAAGAGACCAUGGUGCCAGGAGAGCCACAGCUUAACGUGUGCGACAAGGCCGUCAUGAAUUGGUCUCCCCCAGGCUGUGAGAAACUAGGGAAGUGCCUGCAACCACCCGAGUCUGAUCCUAAGAAGUGCUUUUGGCCUCAUUGAUCUUUCAUGCAGCCCUCAGGAGCUACUCAGAAAAGCCAUAACCAGCCGGACACGGAGUUUACAAUGCAUGUCUUCUCAUGUUGGCACUCCUGUUUACACAGGAAGGGUGUGAUGUAUAUGUGAUAUCAUCAUUUGCUCUUCCAAAAGGGCCAGUGUUUAUAUUGCUAGUGCUCAGGGUUUAGCCUGUACUCCUCUGUUGUUUUAAUUCUUUCCGUAAAUGGUAAAUUUUCAGCGAAGACUACUUCAACUCUAAAAGCUCUCUGGACAAGCACAACUUUGCUGUGAGCCCAGAAGCACCACGGAUGCACCUUUCCUCAGGCUCCUUCCACCCAACCUCUCAAAUCAGUGCUCGUGCGGAUGCCCCGACAGUGGCCAUGGGGUGCAGGAAAUUUACAGUGGCCAGAAAACCCUGCCCAAACUCCCCUUGUUUUGUUUGCCUAUCGCUUGUUGUUUUAACAUUUGAUUUCCAUUGUGCACUCUUUGGACACCAACCUGUUUUUCGCCGUUCUUCCUAAACUUGCAAGUACUGGGUGCAGCUUUACUGCUGAGCAUCGCUGCGUGCACACGAGUGCUUCCUCCUGUUCUCGACCAAGGGGUUGGCUCCAGGGAGAAGGAACACCCUGCGUUCGUGCCAUCUGUAGCUGCAAACGUUCACUAGGUCAAGUUCUAAAGAAAUUUGAAGAUAGUGUUCAUGUAAGUAUUGCCUUGUUGAUGGUAUGCAGCAUGUUCUUGGGGAGCUGGGGGUCAGUUGUUCAGUUAAGGGGUUUCUUCAUUUCCAAAAAUCUAGGUCCAAAUAUGGUUUAAGUCACGCUUCUGGCCUCAUGAUCUGGGCCCAGCCAACUGCAGGCUCAGAAAUGCCCGUUUACAUCAGCUGUUAACUCUUGACCCUGUUUGCUGUGUAUGCUCUCUGAGGAAUUCUCCUUGUGCAAACUUUCCACAGCCUGGGUGCAGCACUUCUCUAAACAGAGUUCACGGUAAAUGCAAAUUCUUCACAUAACUUCACAUUGCAAAUUUCUCGUCUGAUUUUGAGCGUUUUUCACACUCCUCACUACUGCUAAUAAAUGUCUCUCGGACAGAACCUAGCCAGGUUAUUGCAGGUCUGCAAGAAUGGCCAGAAGCAAUCAUGAACGUGCCGCUUGCACCCCUCCUGCGUUUGAGACAGGACACAUGCCCUUUCUGCGUGGCAUUUUGCUGCCUUGGGACUAUAAACAGUCCCGCUUCCUUCCCAAGCAAAGCCUGGGGCUGGCGUGAGACGUGCUGAGAGUUUCUGUGUUAACUGCUGUGUUCUGCCUGCUACGGGCUUCUCCACUUUAUGUUCUUACCUGCCCUGUAAUCCCGAAUGCUCUUUCUCCCCGUUCCCAUGAUUUAUGCUACCUGUAAUCUCCUCGGCAGUAAUUCCUCAUGUACAUCUGAUGAAGCUGGAUAAUCCUGUAAGAUUGUAAUGAGUACAGCCCUUGAGUCAGCUCUUAGCACUCCAUCUAUCAGAAUCACAGCCAACACCACCGGCUGCCAGCCCCUUGGAACCUCACUGCCUGCUCAUCUGCAGACGACAUUUGUUUGCAGUCCAAACAUCUUAGCUGCUCUGCGUUGUUCCUAGUUGUCCCCUCUGGCAUCUCAAGGCAUUUUUCAGUUCACUCAUAACAUUUCUCCCUGUUUUGGCGUCGCGUGGUUAGCUCAAGUCCUGAGAUUCAGCUCACCCUGGUCCUGGUGAUGCUAUAUGAGAAGGACCGGUAGGAGGGCUGGCAGCAGCUGUGUGUGUCUGUCAGCACAGGAGACCACACAAAACCACCAGCUUUCCAUUUUCUGGGUCUGGUCCUCCUCUGCGUUAGCGUUUGUGUCACAAAGCAGUGUUCAGAGCCCUACAGUCCGCUAUUAUCAGCAGAUAAAGAUACCACCAGAUGAGGGAGUCCGUCACUGCAACUCCCUGAGAACUGCUGUCAGCUCUCAGAUAGCUCUGACCGUGUCUGCUGCAAACUGCACCAGCGCUUUGUCUUUCCUUGUGCAGCUUAUUAAGAGAUCACAGCACAGGAUCACAGCUCAUCUGAGCGCUAGCCCGGGCACGUUUCUUGUUCUUAGCAUUUGCAGCAUGCACAUUGUGAGCGUACCGAGUGCCUGUUACCCCGUGUCCCCUGCCUGCCACUUCAUUCUUUUCUUUUUCCCAGCUUGCAGUUUUGCAGAUAGGGCUUUCUCCCCCGUCUGCAGGACUUGCUUGGACAAGCCGUCCUGUUCUUAGCAUGCUCCGUGUUUGUCUGGUUACCCAGCACCCAAAGUCAUCGUCCCCUGCUGAAGCAGUAGGCACUCGGCGCAUAGGUACUGGAUGUAAACUUUGCUCUUCGAAGGCUGGCUGCUACAACAGAGCUGACUCGGUGGUUGUUUACUCAUCUGCUUCGUGUUCAUAUAUUAUAAAAGAUCAAAGCUUCAUAUGAAGAAGCGACUGCUUUGAAUUUAAAUAAGCAUAGUAGUUUUACAGCUGGAUGGCUAGGCAGAAUUUUAAGUCGAUUCCUUUCCCAAAGAUGUACAGGUUUUAAAGUUGUGAGAUGAGGAACCGAUGAAGAUAAAUAAACUAAUUUAUCAGCAGUGCACGAUAUGGUUUGUCUGCACACACCUGUAAAACAACUGACUAACACCCUGGUUCGGGAUAGUCUCACGGAUGUGCCUUGCAGGUCAUGGGACUGACUUGGGUUAAAAAUAACUUGUUUUGUUUUCCCUGUAUUAUUUUUAACGUGGAUCAAUUUCACAGCCCACACAGCUGCCCGAGCACAAUUGGGAGGCUGGUGUGGGGACCAGGGCAACGAGUGGCCUGCGGCUGCCUACAGCAGCCCAGCCGCAGGGAUAAACGCCUGGCAGCCUGCAGCUCUGCUGGGGGGCAGCUCAAAGCCCCCCGAGGCACACCUCGGCUCACAAGGCAGCCAGCACGUGUUCCCACAUCUGCCCUUAACAAUUACCCGGAGCCUCUGAUCCCCAGUUGGUCUGUGCCCCGUUUUGGGGGCAUCCCGUGCUGGGGAAGGUGUUGGCUUCCCAGGGGCUGCCUGGGGUUGUGCACACAAUAGCUGUGGGUCUGGCAGGAUUUACUGACCGACGGCGGUGGCUUCCUUUCCCAAGCUGCACGAUGUAGGGGCUGAAGGGAAGAUGAUGUCAGUCUAAGACUGCUUCUUUGUGGCACUCCUUCCUUUGUAUUUAAAUACGUCUCCGAAAUGCUGAAAGCUUAAUAUCUGCUCGGGCUGAGAGUCCGAGGAAUUCCUCUCCUGCCUUUAAUUUCCAAUUAGCUGAGCGAGUCUCCCUCCUCUGCCCCUGAGGCUAUGUUAUCAUCCAGCCCUCCAUGCAGAGAAGCUUCUGAAAUUGAUGUAACUAAUAAUCGUGGAAAAAGUCCCACUGCAUUUACAGUCUAUGGCUGCAAAAAUGGAGCCCUGAUUUAAAAACCUGCAGCGACAAAUGGAUUAUUUCGGUGGCAAAUUAGUCUCUGCGGACCAACAAUUUGGGGAUCUGAACACUGGAAUUGGAAAGCAGAAGAUCAAUUCCAAACACUUAGAGCCAAGGUUAAUGCCCUUCAAACAGUAUUGAGUGCAGCGAUGAAAGAUAACGUGCCUUUGCAUUUUAAAUGCGGAGCCGGGGAGCGCGGCAUUAGAAGUGAAAAUGGGAAAGUUCAGAGCAGAACGAGAGCGAGAGAGACCCCGUGUGUGCUAAUAAAACGUUUCGCAGUGUCUGGGGACUGAGUUUUCGGGCAAGUAUUGAGGAUGACAGCGGGCUUUUACUGAAGGAACUGGAACUAAUGCAUCGAGAAGGAGGCUGUGGAGCCGGGGACGUUGGCUGCCACGCAGAAGCUGGCUUGGCGCUAGCAGCUCUCAGUACCUGCCGAAUCGAGCCUUGCCCAACCGUGGUGGACGGCUUCCAGAAGCCUCCUGGGUUUGUGCAAAGUGAGGCAGCUGAGACGAAGCUCUCCUGGAGGCUUGAGAACGCUCCUCCUUCCGCUGAGGACAUCUUUGCAGUCGUAAUGCGAAAUAAUUCCAGCAGCUGAAGGAAGACCGUUUUAAGCGACAUCAGCCCCUUGCUGAAGGAUCCUGUGGCCUUCAGGGCUCUGAUUGAUCUGCUGGAAGAUCACCUGAGGGCGUCUUUCCCCCACAUCGACUUCAUUGCAGGUCUGGACUCCCGCGGCUUCCUCAUAGGCCCCCCUCUGGCUCAGAGACUGGGGGUCGGCUUCGUGCCGAUACG